GGUUUGUUAUCCGUGGACUAUGACGGACCUUCCAAACAUGAUUUUUACGGUUCCUUAGAUGUUUAUGGGCUUUAAACCUAAGUCUAAGACCCUUGUAAAUAUUGUAUGUAAGGAUGUAGGAAGAUAUGUACGUAUGUAGAUGUGUAGGUAUGUAUGUCUAAAGAUAUGUAUGAGCGUAUGCAUGUAUGUAAAGAUGUAGGAAAGGUAUGUACGUAUGUGGUUGUGCAUGUAUGUAUGUGUAAAGACAUGUGUGAGUGUAUGCACGUAUGUAAGGUCGUAAGAAAGGUAUGUGUGUAUGUAGAGGAGUAUGUAUACAUGUAAGAUGGUACGUAUGCAUGAUUUAAAUACGUAGAGUUUUAACGUUACUAAUUAUGCGUUUGAGGUUGGUAUGUAAUGCAGGAACGAGAAUAUCGGAUUCUUACGAAAUUUAAGCUCUACCUGAAAUAAGAGGAUGAGUGCCACACGGACUUCUUCUGCUACUUAGAAAGUGAAGCGGAGGUAGAUCGAGUCAAGAGCAAGGAUUGCACGGAUAGAUCGGUCAUAUAAUUGAAGUGUAUAACGUCUAGUAAUGUAAAUUUUAGUAUAAAUGUGGUGAAUUCUUUUAUAGAACGUUUAACAUUUUUAGCAUUGGAACCUUCGCGAAAGUAAUGUCGUUAAUAAGGAAAGAAAUUUUUAAAGCCCU